CGCCACUCACGCACACAACGCAUUUCCAGGCACGCACCACGUUAAAGCAGAGGGUGGCGCCACACACAAAGGACGACCGUCAACCGCCUUCGUGCAGAGAGGCACGCUUUAGAUAUUCGUGCACCUUUUCGCCGUAUCGUAUUCUCCGCCCUUCGCUUGCUUUCCUUGUAGCUUACAAAAGCCAGUUUUCGCGUUUGCUUGUCUCGUGCACCCGCAGCGACGCCAGCCGCCCAUCACCGUUGGUGCGCCACGCCGUCCGCGACAGUCUUUGUGCCUGGGUGUCGGUGUGCGCUGAGGCGUGCACCCGCGCAGACACUUGUGCUCAAGUUAAAGCAAUGCAGCAACUUCAAGCGCGGCUCUCCGACAAGCUCGAUGAGCUGACGAAGGACUGGACAGCCGAGCAGCGGAAGCUGUACGGCGCUGUCGCCCUGACGGCUGUCGUCGCCUCUGGCGCCGCGUUGAUCGGUGCCAACGUGAUGCAACGCUGCUGCGGCGGGCGCUGCAGGGCAGGCAACGACGCCACCCGCUCAGAAAGUCACUCGAAGAGCUCCGACAUCUAUGAGAGUGAGGCGGCGGCGCGCCAGUACAUGGAGUUCCACUACACGCCGUCGCGCGAGAGCUACACGCAGCGGCUGCGCUCCGUGAGCGAGGCCUACGACUUUCCGACGCGCGUCGCUCACAAGUUCCGCACCUACGUGCAGCCAGGCAAGCGCAAGCUGCGCGGGCUCGACAUCGGCUGCGCAACUGGGGCCUCGGUGCUGGAGAUGUCCAAGGUGUUCGACGGCGGUGUCAUCGGCAUAGACUUUUCGGAGGUCUUCAUUCACCUCGCCAAGGAGGUGGUGAACCAGCCGACGUCAGGCAAGAAGGUCACCUACACCGCCCCUGUGCAGGGCGAGAUCACGGAGAAGCGCGAGCUAGAGCUGCCUCGCGCGGUGCGGCCGGAGCGCUGCGAGUUUUACGCCGGUGACGCCAUGAACAUGUUCGAGGAGGACAGCAAGAUCACAACUACGACGUCGCGCCUGUACCCCGACGUCAAGUACUGGCAGGCAAAGAAGGGCGAGACCUUUGACGGCGUACUCUGCCUUAAUCUGAUCGAUCGCGUGCCAGACCCGCAGCGCCUGCUCAACAGCGUUGUACGGCUCCUGGCUAAGGAUGGCAUUCUCAUUCUCGCAGACCCGUACUCGUGGUGGGAGGAUGCGACAGAGAAGUCACGCUGGCUGGGCGGCCGCAAAGACGACGGCGUGCGCAGCGAGGAUGCGGUGAAGGCGGCUCUGGAGGGCAAGUUGGAGCUCCUGAACGAGUCGGACGAGGCCUUCCUUAUCCGCGAUCACAUUCGCCACUAUCAGCUGGGAUUCUCCCACUGCACUGUGUGGCGCAGGAAGUAGAGCCGUGGCGUGCGAGCAAAAUGAGGGCGACUACCGCUGCUGAGCGCAGCUGGCACGCGCUUUUCUUUCCCUUCUUUGGUGCUCUCGCACUCUCCCUCGUUUAGCAGUUCAGAAAAGAGGUAUGUGGAGAACGGGCUCAGGGAGACGAAACACACACACACACACACACACACACACACACACACGCACAAACAACGUCGCCAUCACCCGCGCACACGGACUCACACGCGGCCCCCUCUCUUUCUCCACUCGUGAUAUCGUUUGUGCUUGGUUGUUGUUUCUCGUUUUUCUAUGCCGGUCUCUUGGACACCCUAACACACACGUACACACACACACACACACGCAUGUACGCGCACGUAUCUUGUAAGCUCUUCUUUGUUUUUCUUUUGGCAUCUGUUGUGUGGGGAGGCGCUACGUUGGUGAGUGCGCCUCUUUCAUGCCUUCGACCCGCCUCCGCCUCCGCCUCCGCCUCCGCCUGCGUCUCCUCUCUGUUUUCCGCUGCACUCGUGUGGGUGCACUCUUUGCUGCUCGCGUUAGUCGGCGGCACACAGCGAGCAUCUUUCGUGGGUGUUGGCGGUGGGGGGAGGGGGAUACACGGACAGCAUGCAGUGCGAAUGGCGUGAGGAGGAUGUGGAAGGAGGGGGGGAGAGGCAUCGCUGUGUGGUGGUGAGGUCACAUACGUGACGGUGAGCUCCCUCCCUUUCCCUUCUCGCGAAAACACACACGCACACGCACAGACGCAUGCACACAUACAAGACGAUCAAGUAUGUGAAACUG
rnacentral:misc_RNA from 1 species